AGAGUAUGAUAGAGGAAAGCAGAAUUUCUAGUGUAGAGGUGAAAUUCGUAGAUAUUAGAAAGAAUACCAAUUGCGAAGGCAGCUUUCUGGAUCAUUACUGACACUGAGGAACGAAAGCAUGGGUAGCGAAGAGGAUUAGAUACCCUCGUAGUCCAUGCCGUAAACGAUGUGUGUUAGACGUUGGAAAUUUAUUUUCAGUGUCGCAGCGAAAGCGAUAAACACACCGCCUGGGGAGUACGACCGCAAGGUUAAAACUCAAAUGAAUUGACGGGGACCCGCACAAGUAGUGGAGCAUGUGGUUUAAUUCGAAGAUACGCGCAGAACCUUACCAACACUUGACAUGUUCGUCGCGACUCUAAGAGAUUAGAGUUUUCGGUUCGGCCGGACGAAACACAGGUGCUGCAUGGCUGUCGUCAGCUCGUGUCGUGAGAUGUUGGGUUAAGUCCCGCAACGAGCGCAACCCUCACUUUUAGUUGCCAUCAUUAAGUUGGGCACUCUGAAAGAACUGCCAGUGAUAAGCUGGAGGAAGGUGGGGAUGACGUCAGUCCUCAUGGCCCUACGUGUUGGGCUACACACGUGCUACAUGUAUCUACACAGAAGCAGACUGCGAGUCAGCAAUCCUUAAAGAUACCUCAGUCGGAUUGCACUCUGCACUCGAGUGCAUGAGCUGGAUUACUAGUAUCGUGGAUCAGCGUGCCACGUGAUGCGUCCCGGUCUUGUAACAACGCCGUCACACCAUGGAGUGUCUACUAGCAGUUCAACCUGACACGGAUAGUCACGGACUGGUGAGUCUACAGUAAGCGAUCGUUAACUGCAGACUAGUCCUUAUGAGGUAAUCUGAGCUGCGUAUCUGCUAGCUGGUCUCUGAGA
rnacentral:rRNA from 1 species